GAUAAGCUAAAGGAUUUUAAUGUAUCAGAGUGCAAAAAGUUUAUUGAUCGGCUUUCGGGUUCCACACUGCAAUUAAUCUUUGAGAAAUUACCUCGUGUUGAGCUUCGCUAUAGUAUCAAAGAAUAUCCAGUUGUCUGAAACGGCUACUGCUCUGUUUUCCAACAACAUGUCUGUGUGAGGCCAGAUUUUCUUCGUACACUUCAACCAAAACAACAUAUCACAACAGAUGGAAUGCAGGAGCCGAUCUUCUACAAAGCCCGAUAGUUAAAAGAUUUGCAAACAGAUCUGGGGAUGAAGAGAAAGAUUGCAGCAGCACCUUGAAAACUGAAUUCUGCCAAAAUAAGCCUAAAAAAAAUGCUUGGUAAAGAGCUGCAAUAUGUGUGAUACGAUAUUAAAGUGGAAGCUUAGGGACAUAGAGACCAACUGCAAAGCAGGAUGGGACUCUGAAAUGUGCAGGCCCUGAAAACGGAGACGGGGACGUGGUGCUGCUGCUCGG
rnacentral:lncRNA from 1 species